GAUGAACGCUGGCGGCGUGCUUAACACAUGCAAGUCGAACGGGAAAUAUUUCAUUGAGACUUCGGUGGAUUUGAUUUAUUUCUAGUGGCGGACGGGUGAGUAACGCGUGGGUAACCUGCCUUAUACAGGGGGAUAACAGUCAGAAAUGGCUGCUAAUACCGCAUAAGCGCACAGAGCUGCAUGGCUCAGUGUGAAAAACCCCGGUGGUAUAAGAUGGACCCGCGUUGGAUUAGCUAGUUGGUGGGGUAACGGCCCACCAAGGCGACGAUCCAUAGCCGGCCUGAGAGGGUGAACGGCCACAUUGGGACUGAGACACGGCCCAGACUCCUACGGGAGGCAGCAGUGGGGAAUAUUGCACAAUGGGGGAAACCCUGAUGCAGCGACGCCGCGUGAAGGAAGAAGUAUCUCGGUAUGUAAACUUCUAUCAGCAGGGAAGAUAGUGACGGUACCUGACGAAGAAGCCCCGGCUAACUACGUG
rnacentral:rRNA from 1 species